rnacentral:lncRNA from 1 species
UUUAAACAAAAAUUCACGAGUUUAAGAUUUAUUUUUUUUUUUAAGAUUUAAAUAGCAUAUGAUCCGACCUCAAAACCAUCAAAAUAUUAGUCGAGUAAGAUACCUACCUAACCCUCCUGCCUAAACCAUCGAUGCUGAUUCAAUCUGGUAAACAGGGCCUGAAAAUUAACAACGUCGUUCCACUUAUUCAAAAGGAUGGGAUCAAAAUUUCUAAGUUAUUAUGAACUUUUGGAAGAAAGAAAAAAUGGAAGAGGUAACCCCCAACGUAUAAGGUAAAAUUAAUGAUCUUCCACUCCGAAUCAAAACCCUAGGGACACGUUAUCUGGUAAACAGGGCCUGAAAUUUAACAACAACGUUCCACUUAUUCGAAAGGAUGGGGAUCGAAUUUCUAAAUUAUUAUGUUAUAUAAACUUUAGAAAGAAAGAAAACGGAAGAGGUAACCGAUGUGGUGCAAACGCAUAGGUAAAAUUGAUGAUCUUUCCCUCCGAAUCGAAACAAAAGCUAAACCAGUUACUGGAUCCAGACCACCCUGGGACAGGAAAUCAAAAAACCGCAAAAGCAGAUCAAGAAGAUAAAACGAGACCUCAAUCCAACUAAUUGGAAAUCAUACCAACAUCACAAAUUCUUGUCCGGGAGACCGCGAUCGGUAUAAAAAUCCCAACAAUUCACAACCUUUAAACGUAUUAACUUGGUAGAAAAAAGGCCAUCGCCAACAUUCCAGCCAAACGCUAAAAACACACCAAUAACACUACAACGCAGAAUUAAUCAAUCCCAAAAAGUAAGUCGAAAGGCGGAGAACUUAAAUAUUUAAAGGGAAUUCAACCUUCAAUCAUCGUCAGAUGACUGGGAUCGAAAAAUUUUAACCUGGAAAGAGAAAUCGUCAUCGCCAGGAAUCCAGCCAACCCUAAAAUCACAACCAUAACGAAACGCAAUCCAUAAAAAUCAACAAACCCAAACGGAGGAAUCGAGCCGAAAUCGAAAUCUAAAAACGCAGAUUCAACACCAGCACAGAGCGAUGAAACCUGAUCGCUGACGCCACACCGAUCAAGGGCGCCAUCCGAACAAGCGAGUUGGGAGGAUGCCUAAGGGGGUAUUUAUAGGUAUAGUGAGUGAAUACGAACGGCUGAGAUUAAACCGUGAUGGAAACAAUGGACGGUGGAUAUUAAGGUAGAAGGGGUAAGUGAUUCGCUGUCAAC